rnacentral:lncRNA from 1 species
GUGGUCAUGUCUGUCCUUGAGAUGAAAUGUCUGUGAUGUGAUGCAUUCCAUGAGAUCAUGUUUUAUAGUUCUACUCAUUGGGCUUGUAUAGCUCAUCCCUCUCCCCUAUUCCCCAGGUUUGCAGGUUCAGAGUCCAGAGGGAGUUCAGCAGGGUAUGGAAGAAGAGAUAUGUAAUAGCUAGUGUGGACAUGUAUAUGGAAAGAGAUUGUAGUUAUGUAAUAAGAUGUAUAGACUUGUGCUUGAUUCGUUAGAGUGAUCCCCAGUUAU